AGCAGCCAUCCGACAGGUUCGAGACGAACAGCAAGGGUCUGUGGAGUGUGGUAAAACUCCUGUUCGUUGCUUGGAGUCUGAGAGUCUGGAGCCCCAGAGCACCAUGGGAACUGGGGUUUGGCCGGGAGUGAGAAGAAAGAUGAAGUAUACUUUGAGCCCGGUGUUUAGUGAAGGCUGUAAAUUGUUUCUGACGGGGGACGUCUCCUCAUCACUGUCAUUCUGCACACAGCUGUCUGGUCAGCUUUUCACACUCUGACACGGAAGACUUAAAGGGCUGCAAAGGACUUUUAAUUGAAUCGGUCUCACUUGAUUAAAAACUUUGAUGCUGUUUGAAUCAUUAGAAAUGCAUCACUUCAGAUGUCUCUCUCAGCUGACCGGCCCUCUAGUGGAUGAAAACAGAUGUGCUUCAAGGAUUGAACCAAACUUUUAUCUCUUAUCUCAGCCUAUCAGAUUGGAUUAUAUGGUUGUUUCAGCUAACAUGAUGUGAAGACAUCAGGCCUAACUGU